rnacentral:tRNA from 1 species
CGGCCCGUAGCUCAGCUGGCAGAGCACGUGACUCUUAAUCAUGGGGUCGAGAGUUCGAUUCUCUCCGGGCCGA